CCGGUAGAACAAAAGCAGGAGCCGCGAGGCUUCGGGAGGCUUCUCGGAUGGAGAGCGGCGGGGAGGGGGCUGGGGGCGCCAGCCCGGGCGUGCAGGGGGCUCCAGCCCCGCCGCUGCCUGCCCCGCCCGCCCGCCGGCCCCGCACAUUCGGGCUCGGGAUCACAGCACCGCACCGGGGAAGCGCCCGGGCCCACUCCCUCUCCGCUCUCCAGGGGACACAGGACCCCCGGAGUGGGCGCCUCUGUUGGGGGCGGGGGUCGCUGGGAGAAGGUUGGAGGGGGCGAUGACAGGGCACUGGGGCAGACCCCGCCACGAAGACCCGAAUCUGCCCUCCGAGACCCCCAAACGCGCGGCUCUGCCCCCGGGGGUGGGGUUCCUCCCGGCACCCAGCCCCGCAGUCCUCCUCCCCGAGGCACACCCCGGGGGCGCCCAGCGGACAACCCUGCCAAGCAAACCCGAGACCGGGGACGACACCCGCGCGCGGUCCGCCGAGGAAGAGGUCACCGCUCGGAAACUCGCCAGUUUGGGGCGUGCCUGGCCUUGGGGGGCUUACAGGCACAUGUGGAUGGACUUUGUGUGAUGUCCCCAGAAGGAAGAAGUGUUGGCCCGGGAGGAAGGGCAGAGCCCAAGGCUGGAGGCCUCCCCACCUCGUCCCCUGACAGAACCUUCCGUGUGUACCUCACGAGGCGAGUCCUGGAGUCAGUGGGGCCCUGGCUGCAUACGCAGUUGGCAAACCAUGAGAAGUUGCACACACGCAGGUCGUUGCUAUUCCUGUUACUCCAUGAGAGACACCACGUCUACAGUGGGAAAAGCUUCAAGCCAAGAACAGAGGCUAGAACCCGGGUGCUGUUUUCCAUUUAUUUCAACAAUAAACAGAAAUGCUCCGGGGCUUCCAUUUAGAACGGAAUUCCGUUAUUUUGUCCCUGAAAAUCCCUACCACAGGUCUAGGGGAGGUGAUGGUUUCUAUGUAAAGGAAGCAGAGAGGACGUAAGGGAACGUCCAGAGGGACUCUCUCUUGACAUCGUUCAGGCCCACAGGAAGUAUUUGUUGAAAUAGCUGCUUAAAUGCCGUGAGCCACAGGGUCAGUGGAGGCAGCCAGCCUCACCUGAUACGGGCAGGUGUGUUUGGGGAGCAAGGCUGUUCCUCUGUGGAGCUUGGCGUCCUGCACCUCAGAGAGCAGAAACCAGGGAGAGCGACCAGAGCCCCUGAGAGCGGGUAGGCCACACAGGCUUUGAGCUCCCAUUGCCAAAAGGGGGAUAGGUCAGUGGGUUACUGAGAAAGAGAGAAUGGACCCUGGAUCUGCCUGAAUAUGACUGAGUCGGGCAUAUUCCAAGGACUCAUAGGUGGGGAAAGAGUACAUAGAAACCUUUCUUGGACUCGAAAGUUAUGUGCAGCAAUGGCCUUGUCUGCUCUCUGUAAUGGUCACCACACCGCCAGAGGAGCACCUGUUGGUCCCUCCCACACCCAACACGUGUUUCCUGGAUACUUACUACGAACACGGUAAAUUCUAGAUGUGGUGGUGAACAUAGAAAAGCCAUCUGUGGUCCACGGUUUUCACCCCGAGGAUGCUCGCAAGCCUCUAGGGGACCGAAGGUAAGACAUCUGGAGCAGAACAGCAAUGUCCCAAGGAGACACGUGGCAAGUGAGGCCUCCAACCAAAGUGCUAGCGGUUGAAGGAGGGGAGAUGGUUUGGGACCAGAGGGCCAGGGAGAGUUUUGUGGAGGCGGUGCCAGCUGACCUCAACAGUGAGGGACGCACAGACAUCCAACAGGCAGAAGGGAGAGAUGAUGAGAUUUGAGGUGCAGGUGGGGCAGCAGCGUGAACAAAGAGAAGGAGGCAGGAGCUCCUUUGGCGUGUCACAGCGGCCAAAGGGAGUCUCGCUCUAGGACAGGCUCUGUGUAGGGCAACCCCGGAAUUCAGGGUUAGAGAAAUGGCGGAAGUCAACUGCAUCCUGGAAAAGGCUUUGAAAUGCCACGGAGGCUGAUCCUGUGGGCUCACGCACAUGGAUCGUGGACCAGGUCCGUCCUGGGGGCACUGCCCCAGCUCUGCAAACCACAUGUGGACAGCAGCUGCCCGGGCAGCCCAGGAAUAUCAGGGCUUGGCUGUGCAGCCACGGGUGGUGGGAAUGGCAGAUCGGAAUGUGAGAUGAGGGGCCAACAAAAAGCCUAAACAGUGCUUUCUGGGAGAGGUUUGUUUGAGGGGCAUGGAAAUAAGAGAUCUGAGGAUUUUCCCACGUGAUCUCUGUAUUUUGCAAGCUCAGAGGUUUGGAAAAAUAACUGGGAGUUGAGGUGCCGGUGCUGUGGCGCAGUAGGUUAAUCCUCUGCAGAUCCCACAUGAGUGCUGGUUCUAGUCCCAGCUGCUCGUCUUCCAAUCCAGUUCUCUACUGUGGCCUGGGAAAGCAGUAGAAGAUGGCCCAAGUGCUUGGGCCCCUGCACUCACAUGGGAGACCAGGAAGAAGCUCCUGGCUCCUGGCUUCGGAUUGGCGCAACUCCGGCUGUGACAGCCAUUUGGGGAGUGAAUCAACAGAAGGAAGACCUUUCUCUCUGUCUCUCUCUCUCACUGUAACUCUACCUCUCAAAUAAAUAAAUAAAAAUCUUUAAAAAAAUAAUUGGG
ensembl:lncRNA